rnacentral:rRNA from 1 species
CCUACGUGUGGCUGCAGUGAGGAAUAUUGGUCAAUGGGCGGGAGCCUGAACCAGCCAAGUAGCGUGAGGGAUUAAGGCCCUAUGGGUCGUAAACCUCUUUUGUCAGGGAGCAAGGUCGUCCACGUGUGGGCGUAUGGAGAGUACUUGAAGAAAAAGCAUCGGCUAACUCAGUGCCAGCGGCGGCGGUAAUACGGAGGAUGCGAGCGUUAUCCGGAUUUAUUGGUUUUAAAGGGUGCGUAGGCGGGACCUUAAGGCAGCGGGAAAAUUGCGGUGCUCAACGCCGUAGAGCCGUUGAAACUGGUGCUCUUGAGUGAGCGAGAAGUAGGCGGAAUGCGUGGUGUAGCGGUGAAAUGCAUAGAUAUCACGCAGAACCCCGAUUGCGAAGGCAGCAUACCGGCGCUCAACUGACGCUGAGGCACGAAAGUGCGGGUAUCUAACAGGAUUAGAUACCCUUGUAGUC